UGAGGCCAAUGAUGAUUUAAACAUAUUUUGCCUACAUUGCUUGAGUAUCUCAUUUGGAUGAGAUAAUGAUAAACUGAAAUGUAUCUGAGGCCUCU
rfam:Prunus persica cultivar Lovell chromosome G2, whole genome shotgun sequence.